GACGAACGCUGGCGGCGUGCUUAACACAUGCAAGUCGAACGGAAAGGCCCUGCUUUUGUGGGGUGCUCGAGUGGCGAACGCGCGAGUAACACGUGAGUAACCUGCCCUUGUCUUUGGGAUAACUUCAGGAAACUGGGGCUAAUACCGGAUAGGAGCUCCUGCUGCAUGGUGGGGGUUGGAAAGUUUCGGCGGUUGGGGAUGGACUCGCGGCUUAUCAGCUUGUUGGUGGGGUAGUGGCUUACCCAGGCUUUGACGGGUAGCCGGCCUGAGAGGGUGACCGGCCACAUUGGGACUGAGAUACGGACCAGACUCCUACGGGGGGCAGCAGUGGGGAAUAUUGCACAAUGGGCGGGAGCCUGAUGCAGCAACGCCGCGUGCGGGAUGACGGCCUUCGGGUUGUAAACCGCUUUCGCCUGUGACGAAGCGUGAGUGACGGUAAUGGGUAAAGAAGCACCGGCUAACUACGUG
rnacentral:rRNA from 1 species